GUUCUCUAUUCUAUUCCAUUGGUCUAUGUGUCUGUUUUUGUGUGAGUACCAUACUGUUUAUAUUACUACAGCUUUGUAAUAUAACUUGAAGUCUGGAAUUGUGAUGCCACCAGCUUCACUUUUCUUUUUCAAGAUUGCUUUGGCUAUU